ensembl:misc_RNA Metazoa_SRP Metazoan signal recognition particle RNA
GCCGGGCGCGGUGGCGUACGCCUGUAAUCCAAGCUACUGGGAGGCUGAGGCUGGCGGACCGUUUGAGCUCAGGGGUUCUGGGCUGUAGCGGGCUAUGCCGAUCGGGUGUCCGCACUAAGUUCGGUAUCGAUAUGGUGCUCCUGAGGGAGCUUGGGACCACCAGGUCAUCUAAGGAGGGGUGAACCGGCCCAGGUCGGAAACGGAGCAGGUCAAAGCCCCCGUGCCGAUCAGUAGUGGGAUCGCGCCUGUGAAUAGACGCUGCAGUGCAGCCUGUGUAAUACAACGGGACCCAGUCUUUU